rnacentral:lncRNA from 1 species
CAGGGAUUGAACCUGAUACCCCUGCAUUGGUGGUAUGGAGUCUUAACCACUGGACCACCAGGGGAGUCUCACGCCGUUCUCUUUCUUAGUAUUGCUCCCUGUCUGUCUCUGUCUUUUAUUUCCCUUCUCUCUGUCCGUCCCUUCUCCCUCUUUCUCUCUCUCUCUCAAUGUUUGUGGACAUUGCUUUCUUUACCUGUGAGUGUAUGAUGCCUGGAUAGUCAGGGAUUCCCUUUGUGUGUGUAUCUGCCUGGAUGGCCCUGCUCCCUCUCAUUGUUUAUGGAACAUGAUGUAUAUUUGCACACCUGGUAGUUGGUGUGUUCUCUUUGGGACCCCAGAAGUCUGUGUGUGUCUGUGUUGGAAACAUGGGCUUCCUAUUCGUGUUUAUCUGUGUGCCCUAGUGUCUGUGUACACUUUGAUGGUUUGAAGAUUCUGAGUGUGUUCCUGAAUAUUCCCCUCUGUCUCUGUGUUUGUUUCUGCCUGCUCCCUUGGAUGCUUGCAUUUCUCUGCGGUAUGAUACCUGGGGGUCCAUGCUCUCCUCCCUCCCCCCAAAGGAUGUGAUCCCUCGUGUGUAACCCCCCAGAGGGGUGUUUGUUUAUCCCUCACUUCCUCUCCAAGAAACCAGGGUUUUCCCACCAUCGCAAAUCCAUGAACUUUUCAAAUUGUUGCCCACAGGUUAAACCUUCAUGAUCUAGACCAGAGGUUGGCAAGCUUUUCCUUAAGGGGUCAGACGCCCACAACGUGGAUCCCAGGAGGGAACAGGAAGUGGCUUGAGAAAAUAAACCCAGCUCACUGGUCCUGUGGAUGGCGCCCUCUCCACACCAGAAAGCGGCAAGCAGGCUUGGAGAAAUAUAUCCUGGUGGGCACCAUUUUCUCCAGAGUCCAAUGGGGCAAACAACAGUCCCAGCUGGAUUCAACGAAGAGCUUAGAGGAUUCAUUUGAAGCAGCCCACAGGGAAGGGUGUCGCUGAGGAAACAAAACCCAGACCCCCCAGGCCUCUGAGCGAGGGGUGGGAGCUUGCUGGGAAAACACUUUCACCUGAGAAGCACAAAGGAC